AUGAAUCUUGUGCAAAUUCCUCAAUCUGCUAAUGCAAAAUAAACAAUUUUAGUGCUAAAUUCCAACUAAGCCAAACGCAAUAUGAAGCAAAAUGAGUAGCGCCGUGCACAGUAAUUUACAAUACCGUGCAUGAAGCAAAAUGAGGAAAGGAAAAAUGAGCAGCAUCAUGGGCAUGCACCAAUUCAUGCUACUCCCUCCGUCCCAUAUUAAGUGUCUCAAAUUUGUCCAAAUAUGAAUGUAACUAUACAUAAAAAGCGUCUAGAUACAUGUACUAUUUCGACACUUAAUUUGGGACGGAGGGAGUACCUAAUUUACGAAAGCCACACGAAAAGCAGUGUUCUUCUAUUUUUUUAAUGAACGACCAAAUGUUAAAUUCUUAAUGCAGCGGUGCAAGGUGGCUUGAUGUUUCGUCGGUCGAGGGUAAUGACGAUGUUGACGAGCCGCAGGACUUGUGAGCCAGGCAGGCCGGGUAGGGCGGUGAGCUCAACAAGCCGACGAGGCGCAUAAGAAAAUUCCAGUUCCGCUUAUGUGUUUCUUCAGAAAUUGUUGUUUCGUUUCUCUUUUCGUUUAUGUAGUCAAUUUCACUUAUGCUCAUCUUUCGCACUUUUCGGGUUUUGUUUCCACAAAAACAAAGCUAUCUUUCCAAAAAAAAAAAGAAGAAGGAACGGAUAGAAACAUUUUGCUCCGUUUUCGCCCAAACUCAUAGGUGAAGUUUUUCUUAGGGAUACUCAUAGGUGAUGGUGGUAAUACCUAACAACUCUAACCGUCCUUUUCCUCUUGCCGAGGCGAACCGUAUGCGUUCACGCGGUUUCCUAUGUGUCGACAUGAUGGGCUAGAUCUGGAAUUCGGCGGCAGGCUUGGGAUGUGGCCCCGGCCCACGAGCCACAACGGAAUGGAUUCGCCUCAGGCGAGCUUCUUGUGAGGUCCAUAAAGCUGUUGUGCAGCGAUGGAGCCACGUCGAAUUCGGGUUUGUUGGUUUUUAUCCCGUCUAUCCCAGGUGGUCGGUGAAGCGGCGCCGGAGAUGGGCGGCAGUCAAUGGUUCAGGCACAUAGACUUAUAGACUUUCAAGGGCUUUCUUGUAUGUUUUUUUCGUUUAAAACUCACUUGUGCAAUUGUUUGGAACCUUGUGCCUUCUAGAGUUCUCUUUGUUGAGUACGUGUCUUGUACCUUAUAUUCGAUGUUAAAUGGUACAUGUAAGCUUCUAAAAAAAAUCUCCAUCAUUUUUUAUUUUCUUUCUAUCUUUAUGCAACUUCACAUAUUUUCUUCGUUUUGUUACCAUCAAAUUUUUCUAAUUUACACCUAUUACUGUAUUUGUUCUGUCAAAUUUAUGCAUGUGGAGCAUAAAGUACUGUUUGUAAAAUUGUCGAUGUGCUCACUCACCAAACUGGAAAUAAAUGAAGCGGCCAUAAACCCGUUGUCCUCGGGCGGAAGCAGUGCCCAGCACCAGCAAGUCUCUCCCCACCAUUUCCACUCCACCACCUUAGUACCUCACCCGUGCGCGCCGCACUGCCGUGCUGUGUACGCAGCGACGCCACAACCGAGGAAGCCCAAACCCUAGCGCAGCUUCGCGCGAGUCCCGUACCCUCCGGCGGCAAUGGUGGCGAGCCAUGCGUGAGAGCGCGCGCCAUGGGGAAGGAUGGCGGGGGGCAGCAGGAGCAGCCGCAGGUGGCUGCAGCGGCGGAGGGAACAGGAGGAGGAGAAAGAAGAAGAACAACGUGUAGAGCAUGCCGCGGGUCUGUGCGGCUGCAAUGCUUGGCCGCGCUCCUGCUCGGCGCCGCCGUGAUGCUCUCCGCACUGUUCUGGCUGCCGCCCUUCGCCGGGAGCGGCCGCCGCGCGGGGGCGCCGGAACCCCCGGGAGACGCGCUCGCAGGUGAGCUCGCCUUGCGAGAUCUCGGCCACUUCCUGCUUUUAAUUUAUUUUACCACUCCAUAGUUUUUAAAAUCGGUCUCGUGGUCUGGACGCUACGAGCAGUCGAGCAGUGACUAUAGAAUAGAAGUCACUAGAGUGAGUGGCUGUUUUACUUACGAGCUUGAUGAGUUGGAGAUUUGCGCUUGAUUCUGGGCUUGGUGCGUAGCUUUGGGUCUCUAGUAAAGUUCACGGCUCUUGAGUAAACAUGAACCAAACCUGUUAUAUCGUCAGUUUUGUGUUCUGUUUCCUUUCAGAGCAACAUGCAAUCCAAGCUUUGUUUAUUUCUGCAUUUUAAGCUCUGUGAUGCGUUAUGAUGUUAAUCCAUUUUUAUUAGCUUCUGUCUUCCCAAUGUUAGGCACAUAUGGCUACUCGAUGAACUCACAUGUUUUGGUUCAUCAUUGUGUAGUACAGUUAUUUAGGUUCCAUUCUUGCUAAUGUCCAGGAUAUGAAAUGUUGGGACAAACAUUUCUUUGUGCCAAUUCUGGUAAAUGCCUUUUCUUUUCUGGACUGCUGCUUAGUUCAAAUAUCCAGUUCAAGCAUCUGUUCGGUCAUUCUUCAGUUUUUGCUGGUUGGUUGUGUGAUUUGCCUAUUUAGAUAGCAUAUCACAUUUUUAGGCGUUCCUAGUGGUACUUCUGGUGUAUGACUCUGUCACAAUGUUGCUGUUGGGCUAUAGUUUCCUUAAUGAUUAUGUUGGAGCUCAAUGUGCAACCGAAAUGUACAUUGAACUGUUGAUGUUAGGCAACAAAGGGUUAGAAGUUGAGUUGUGAUAUGUUCACUUUUUUCAUUGUCUCUAGAACUCUUGUGGAUAGUCUGUGUUGCCAAUAGGAGCAUUUUGUUUAUUGAAGAUAUAUGGGUAUGGAAGUAUUGACAUAUGUUCCAGCUAGCCGGAUGACACAAUGAUGGAACUUGUUGGUUUUCUGUAGUCUUUGUUCUUCACAAAAACAUAGUCUCACAGAUGUUGGUUACUUAGCUCCUGAGUUAAGUUAUUGAAAGGUCACAUUACAGGAUCAUGAUGAAAAAUGCUGGAGAGAAAAAUGCAAGAUUUAUGUAUGGCAUCUCGCUACAAUUUUUAGUGAAAGAAACAACAAUUUUUCAUGGGUACUGGGUAGGUGAGAUAGUAUCCCUACAAAAGUUGCCGCCUAAGAAAAGGCAGCACUUUUUUUGACAGGUAAUGUUACACUUCCAAGAUCCUGACAAAAAUUGCCACGAAAAUUUAUCAGAUAGCCAUGUUAAAAGGUCCUGACAAAAAGUGCCGUGAUAGAAGGCCCCGACAAAAGUUUCAGCGAUAUAAAACAAGUUUAUUUAAUGGUCAUGUCAUGAGGUCCCAACAGAAAAUGUCUCGGUGCAAGAGUCAAUGCUUAUCCAAUCGUAAAAAAAAUUGCUGCCAUAGAAAAGGCAUCACUUACAAAAUAGUAUGUAUGUUAGAAGUUCCACACCCGACAAGAAAGGCUGCAUAGAAAAGCAAAACUUUAUCAAAUGGUGAUGUUAGGAGUCACUGAAGAGGCGUGUUUUAUUUUAUUUUAUUUUAUUAAUGACGAGUGUAUUGAACUAAUGGAAGUGAUUAUGUCAACUUUUGGAGCUUUAGAUUUCAGCACUUGCAGAUUUUGAUCUAGAGAAACUUUUACAAGAAUUAGGUUAAUCCAUGGAAGUGUGCAAGUUCACUAGUUCAGGAUGUGAUGUAUGAAUUAAUUUAUAACCUCAGCUGCAUUCAAAUAUGCUAGCUGUUUAUUAUCGUCAAAAUCAACACAUAGGGUGUGCGACAAAUAGCAAAGUCUUAUUUGUGAUUUUGGAUAUUGUGUGGAACCUGUCUAAGUAACUUUGAACACAGAAAAGUGGAAAGUCAAUGAACUGAUUAGGUAUUAUCAGUCUUAAUUGGGCAUGGGCUCUCAACAUGUGGAUGCACAUGACUUACAUAGGAGUGACAAGAGUAGCUCUGAUAAACAAGGUAACGACAAGUGGUAGUUGAAUGGAUUAGACCACUGGAAUGACUAGCUGGACUUCGGUUAUUUUGUUGUCAAGAGUAGCUCUGAUAAACAGGAUGUUAAGUAUUGACCUUCUAUGAGGCCUCAAAAAAAAAACUUCUAUGACUGGUCAACACAAAAAUAGAACAUAUUAAAUGUCUGUGCCAAUAUUACUCAAGAAUUCUACAGUCAAAGACAUGCUUCUCUUUUAACAUUAGUACAUACGUAUAGUGGUGCAUACAUUUGACUUCUAUAUAAAGUAUUUGGUAUUUCUAUUUUCUCAACACUACACGCUUCAAACCUCCCUGGAAUACGUAAGAUAAUUGAUUAUGAUUCUGUUUUUAAAUUUGACAUGUAAAAUUCCGUUCAAUAAUUGAUAGUAGCACACCAUAAUCUUAAUAUUUGUGCUUUAAUAAUGAUUUGGAUAAUUACUUGUAGGAUUUGAUGUGUCAUUGCAUUUGAAAUAAAUAAAAAUGCUUACUGAGCAUUUAAUGUAUGUCAGUAUAAUUGUUGAGAUUCAAUGAACAUGGCAGGUUAGUUUGUUAUCAUUAAUUAUGUGUCUUGGAUUUAGUACUACUUUGUACUAAAUCCAAGACACUUAUUAUGGAUCGGAGGGAGUAUCAAAUAAGAUUAUCAUCUUUGAUUAUUACCUAAUUGACAGCCAUAUUUUUCAUUGAUAUAUACCGUGAUCUCAAUUAAAUCCUUGUUUGACCAUAUUAGCCUUUAGAUAGCAGUUAAAGACCCACAAUACAACCAUCUAGGAGCUCCUUAAAACAUCCUUGGCACGGCCCUUGACAUGUGAAUCUGCAGAACAGAGCAGAGCUACUAAAACUAAAUUAUACAUCAUAUUAUGCUAUGAGUAGUCAUUCUCAUUUUGAGAGCAUAUAUCUUGUAGUUUUAUCUGUUUAUAACUUGAAACAAAGAUUUUACCGCAAUGAUAUUGAAAAUAUUGACUAUUGCAGUCAUGCUCUUUUUGCAGCUGAUAUAGUGGCAGGCUUUAUACUACAAAAGACAGUUUCUGAGUUGAGUGAAACUACGUCUAAGCUUGAAUUAGACAUCUAUGAGGAAAUUGGCAUUCCCAACUCUACUGUAAGGCAGAAACUAUGCACCUUAUUUAUGUGCAUCUUGUCAUGUACAGUGUGUCCUACAAUCUAUCCUAGUGAUUUCUAAUUCUUGAAUGACUGUACAGGUAACUGUAAAUUUUCUACGACCAUUAGGUGCAUCAAACUGGACAAACGUCAUCUUCAGCGUCGUGCCUUAUCCAAAGUACUCAACUAUAUCAUCGACAUGGUUGAGCAUUCUUAGGUCUUAUUUUAUGUCCUUGGUUGCACAGCAGUCAACACUCCACUUGACAGAGUCACUUUUUGGGAACUCUUCAUUCUUCGAGGUGAUGAAGUUCCCUGGAGGAAUAACCAUUAUCCCUCCACAAGCUGCAUUUCUUGUGCAGAAGCCUUAUGCAUCUUUCAACUUCACUCUGCAUUUCCCAAUCUACAAGGUGCAGGACAAAACAAAUGAGUUGAAAGACCAAAUGAAGACAGGACUACUUCUCAAUCCCUAUGAGGUUGGUGCUCUUCUAGUUCAGUUUACAUUUUAAUAGUUUUAUUCCAAUAAUGAUUGUCGAUGUUCUAGUUUGGACCACGUCUGUUUACACUUGUUGUCACCACAUUGUUGUUGGACCAUAUCUGAAAAGGUUUGGAUGCUUUUGCUUCGUGGUACUUGUUUUGCUUAGAUUCCUGAGCUUCCAUGUGUAUGCACAUGCUCACAUCAAAUAAUUGUAUAGUCUAAUGGCCAUGCAAUUACUCUGACAAGGCGUGCAUGGCCCUGCUGGACAUGUUUCUGAAGAAAACCCUGGUGCAUUUCAUGUCAUCCGAGUAGUUUGUCUGUGAGGGACAAUCUACACUGAGAAUAUUGGAUUUUUGUGUAUGAAUGUGGCAGACUGGCAGAACAAGCAAGAAAUAUAUACAAGAUCUUAUUUUUCAACUUUGUACGCUUGCAUACUGCAUUGUUAAACAUUGUAAAAAUAAGAAAAGGUAUAUAUUCCUAUGCAAUAUAAACAGUCUAGAACACCCGCAAUCAGUACAGAUCUCUGGUUUUCCAUAACUCCGUACUUGCCUCAACACUCUUAUUUCGUUGGGCUUAGAAAAUUUGGGGUGUCAGGCAUAAUUUUCUGUUGUAAUAAUGAUGUGCAUUAUUAUAUCUUAUUUUUGUUCUUCAGUUGAUCUUCUGUUCCCGCUUUGCAGAACCUGUACAUCAAAUUGACAAAUUUGCAAGGUUCAACAGUUGAUCCUCCAACAAUUGUUCGGGUCUCCAUUAUUCUUGAAGUUGGGAAUCAUCAGCCCUCCCUUCCAAGAAUGAAGCAGCUGGCACAAACUAUCACUAAUUCAUCUUCAGGAAACUUGGGACUUAACCACACUGUAUUUGGCAGAGUAAAGCAGAUAAGCCUUUCGUCUUAUCUUUGCCAUUCUUUGCACAGUGGCGCUGGUACUGAUGCACCUAGUCCAGCACCUGUGGCUCAUCAAGGCCAUCAUGAUAAUCAUCAUCAUCGUCAUCAUCACCACCACCACCACCACCACCACCACAGCCAUCACCAUAGUCACGAAGUAAAGAAGCAUUUGGCUCCAUCUCCUGCACCUGUACAUUCUCAUGUGGAACAGCCCAAAUAUGGAUCUCCAACCCCAUCUGGUUGUUCAUAUGGAUGCACCAAUAAACCAAAGAAUAAAGCUCCUGUAGCCCCAGCGGCUGAACCAGUAGCUAAUAAUUAUUAUGAUUCACCUCACACCAUGCCUCAUGCAUGGUCGCCAUCAUCUAUUAGUCCAUCACCUUCUGUUACAAUUAAUCCCAGUAGGCACCACAUCUCCCCUGCUCCAUCUCCAGCAUCUGCAAAGCCCCCGCUGCGUACAUUAUCUCUCUCUCAUGUACAUCAUCCUGCUCAAGUGCAAGCUGUGCCUCCUGCCCCUGAUUCAUGUGAGUCUUUUCUCCCUUUUCACAUUUCCACAACUGUCAGUUACUGUUAAUUUUAAGCGUCACUCAAGGAUUGGAGUUGGUAGAUUAUUCUAUAAAACAGCAGUUACAUUCUAUGCAGACUUUGAAUAUCAGUUUCCAUGCUUGUCAUUGCAAUUUGUGUGAUUUAGUUAGAUGCUGUGGUGAACUGUGAUGCUACAUGUGCAUGAAAACUGCAAUACUAUGUCACUGAUGCCGAUGAAACUAGUUAAUGGCUUAAUUUAUGUCUUGAGAAGUUCUUACAUAAAUAAUCGAUUAAUAUCAUUAUCAUCGUUGCUCUUUGUUUUAAUAUUUCUGUGUUAGGAAAUUGUUCAUCCUGUUACCUGCAUUGCCAUAUGCAAAUUAUUCAGUUAUCCACCCUGUUACGGUGUUACCUAUUUGUCAUGUAAAUUAUCAUAUCCUCUUGCUAUUUAUCAUCCACUGUUUUGUUAUUACAGCAUUUGCCGCCCGAAGGCAUUCAUGUCAAUGGGCCCUCGCAUUCCUGCUGUGUUUGCUGAUGGGUCUACCAUGACGAGUACAGGUCAUAUAUAUAUUACUAAAGAUAAUCGAAAAUAAGCAGCUCCGUCAAUCAUCAGUCUGUCUUGCGAGCUGCCGUGCUGUUUCCACAAGGUCCUUCGUGUCAGGCGCGAAAAAUAUAGUACACCCUUUCAGGUGUUGAUGUUAGAGCAUGUAAAUAUGGGUGGGGGGGUUAUAAGGCAAAAUGGGCAUCUCUAUAUAUAGUGGUCAAAGCCAGUGCGGCAGGCCCUUGUGUUGUUGCACAUGUUUUGCCCAGUUUUGCUGCGCAAUGGUGUUAAAAAAUGGUGGAAUCCAGCAUAGAGGUUUAUACUGUUUGAUAUGAGGGUAUAGCAGUUAUCUUCAAUUCCAGUUCUCAGGGGUUCAAAUCAACAGUUUUGCAUUUUGGCCCGCAAAAAAAACAGUUUUGCAUUUUUGGUGAUUUUGAAUGCCUCAGGUCUGUUGAACAGCGAGGAAACAUAAAAAGUUUUCAGAAAAAAAACUAAGGAAAAGGAAUAAGAUCAGAUUGUACUUUUCCCGAACACAUAGGAAAAUGUUUCCAGAAUUUGCACCGAGAUCUUGGAUAUACAACCUUAAGCAGCGUUUACUGUGCGCUUGAAUUCAGAUGGAGCAAGACAAGCUAAAAUACCAACUUAGCACAAACACGACCUACAGACCACACUUGGCUAUGCAACUGAGCAGGAUCGCUGUUCCAUAACCUGACUGUUGCUAAGGUUACUUGUAAAGGAAAAAACAUUCAAAACGUACAAGGAAAAACCAUUCAAGGCGUUAAGGAAACCGAACGGUGUUGCCACAAGGAGUGACCCAUGAGUACAAAAAUAAGGGAACAAAUGAAUGAAUCAAUGUCUGAUGUACAAUGAGUGGUCUGGCAGUACAGUUUUAAUUCUACGUCUAUGCUGCAACGAAAUACACAAUUUAACAAUUUUCAAGAAUGUGAAUUGAACAAAGAUACACAAGCCCCCACCUGGUGGAGGGCCAGAGGAAACACUGGAACGAUCAAUUGCGCGACACAUAUGUACCGAUUUUCCUGAUCGUGUUGGCAUACGAGGUUAUCAGUUGCACUGUCAAUAAAGUUUAUUGUGCUUGCUGUUGUCUCUCUUGAGUUGUACUUUCAGCUUUUUACCACCUAACUGGAACCCGUUCAUCAUGCUUAUGGCUGCUUGCGCAGAGGCAGGAGAAUCGUAGCUUACAAAACCUGCAUCCAGUCAGGAACAAAUUAACAAAUAAUGUUUGUAUGAUGAUAGUUCCAAAAAUUCCAGCUUGGCAGAGUUAGUUACCAAAGCAUUUACUAGCACCAGUUGCUUUGUCUACAAAAACUUUGGCACUCAAUACUCUACCAAAAUUUUGAAAUGCAUUCGCUAGAUCUUGGUCACCAAAUUCUUGUGGGAUGUGAUAGAUAAAUAAAUUGGCUCCAGGAGGACCUGUACGCAUGAUAAGUAUCUGUAAAACAAAUUUCAGAAGAAAUGAAUGAUGAAAUGACUAAUUUCAUAAGUAUUAGAGACAAACCCUCUAUCUGUGGACCAGGGUUGCUACUGGUACUUGAAGAUGUGGGAGAUGUAGCAUUUGUGUUUGGAACUUUAAUUGCAUUAUGAGAAUUCAUGUAAGGACGACUAUUGAUAGCACCACCAGGAUAUGACCCAGGAUACUGCAUACCAGGAGCAGCCGGAUAAGGGCUGCCCAACUGCAUUGAAUUAAAUGAUCUAGUAACUGAGUUAGGGGAAAGUUCAGAAUUAACGCCGCGUAUUGAGCUUCCUUGAUUGACAGGCUGAACCAUAUUCUGGAAGGCUGCUUGAUUUUGCAUAGGCGAUAAAGGGUAUUGCAUAAGUCCAUAGGUUCCCUGUGGCUGCAAAGAUCAACGAACUAGAGUUAUAUCCCCCAACACAAGAUAUGGUUGCAACAGUAAAUGUACAGCAACUAUAUGGAAGUAUCUAGAGAACGACAUGAAUAGUGAAAGGUAAGAACGAAAAGUUUCCACUUCCACAGAGUAUGCCUUGACAAGGGUUUGUUUCAGCAAAGUGAAAAUCUGUGUUAAGAGUAAGCUAGGAGUACUGCUAUUUAGUUUAAAUUGUAUAACUACAGGAAUAGCCUUUUAUUGUAUGAUGCACUAUAACCUCAAGAUUUUAGUACCAUAAUUCACCUGGUAGCCAAAUCCAUUAUACUGAGGCAUAUAUCCCAUCUGCAAGGCACCAAACAACGAAUUCUGCUGCAUGGCAGUUGCGUUUGACAUAUUAGACGGCUGAAAAUGAGCUUUUUGUGCUUUUCGAGCCUGCCUUUCCUUUUCUGUGUCGGCCCAUUUUACAACCAAAGGUACACUUGAACCCUAACAGAAAGAUAAGGGCACAUUAGGAUUUAUUUUACGAGUCAUGAAGUUGUGAAAGGAAAGGAAAUGAUUAAUAUAGAUGUGUGUAAUAUUGCCCAAAUUUCCAAGCUCCAACCAUUAUAUUUUGGAAAAAAUAAACAAAAAAUGCAGCAAAUAAACCAUGAUAUUUUUUUCUCUGCAGAUAUAUCAUAAAAUGGGUUCUCUAUGGAUCCCCACAAGUGAUCAGUUCUUGUGUGAAUUCUUGAGGAUCCAGCAAGACCAACAUUCAUUCUUCUGCAGGUGUCAAUUGCACAAAUUUACAUAGUUAGUUGGAUCAAUAUCUGGGCUCUGAAAAUUUGCAGUCUGAUCUUUGCAACCCUGCUCCUGUUACUCGUACAAGAUUAAGAAUUUUCAUCUCAAAUAGGACAGAUAGAACAAUCCAACACACAUGUGGGCUAAGCUAGAUUUGACUGAAGUAAUCCAACUAUAGUGGGGUAUGCAGCAUGUUUUCCAGGAGAGCCAUACCAAGAUACUACCAGCCUACCAGGUCAAUAUGAAUUGUUCAGAAUACUUAAUUUUCACAAACCUCUAUUUUGUGCUUCCCAUUUAGAGCUUCGAUAGCUGCCAUAGCCUGCUCUUUCGUUUCAUACUUCAGAAAGGCACAGCCGGCUGCAACAUCCACAGUAGGUAAGCAGAUAAUAGCGCAGGUAAGUCUAGAAGAAAAGUGAACUUCGUUUCAAUUCAUAAGAAAAAAGCAACUCCUCUAACGAGGUAGUUUUACCUUUGCUCGUCUGUUGCGAACCUCUCAAAAUCUGCAAAUCCUUGAUGUUGCCAUAUUGUGAAAAUAAAUCAGUCAUUUCAGCAUCUGUUACAUUUUUUGGAAGCAUUCCAAUGAAAAGUUUGUGCUCUGAAAGUAACGUGUGGACAUGUCAGUUGAAUGAGGAGCAAUAUAAUAUCCUGACCAAUAAUUGAUAGACAAAUGUCCUUAAUGGAUGAAAUCAUUAUAGGGAGCCUCAUACCCAAUCUUUCCAACUCUCCAUCGGCAUAUUUUACUUGCAGUGGACUUGGGGCCUGGUUUCAAACAGAGUAAAAUGCAAGGAAAAAAUGUUGAGGACAGUCAGAGUGAACUAACAGACUAACAGCAGUGCUACAAAAAUGGAAUUGGUGUUUAUGGAAUAUACGAAGAUAUUGAAAAAAUAACAAACCCAACAGUUACUGGACUGCUGUUCAAUACGCUGAUUGCCAACCAACAUGAGCUAUAACUUCAUAACUAUGGUCCAUAUGCAAGGAGUCAAGGACUAGUGCAUCACUGUUGGCUAAGCUAAGUCAUCAGUUGUCUAAAGUUAUCAAAUUGUGCAAAUCAUAGAUUCGUAAGGUUCAAGGUUUAAGUCUGAUCAGCUAUAUUGAUUCUAAAGAAAAAAAAGGCCUGACAAAUAUACACUGAUAUGAUUCACGUACUUUUAAGGGAUGCAACAGGAGUGAGAUCAUAUGAACCUGCCAAUGAACUCUCAGCAGAAAGGAUGGAAAAUUGGACUGAGAGACCUGGUUACUCAUUCUAAUUGGGAGCUUAUACACUUGUUUCAAGCAGAGAGAUCCAGAGAAUAUUUGGAGGAAAGGAUUUACAGAAAUAACUGGAGCGAUUAACAGAAUAUUUGAAUAUAAAUUUGUCUGCACCGCUAUACUGUGUCUUCAUCUAGCAUAAUAGAUGACGACAUGCAUUCCACAUAGACAUUUAUUCAAGAAAAUGGCCAGUCCAUCAACACAGCUUAAUUCGACCAGAUAAGGAUUAAGGACACACCUGGACUACCUUUUCCACUGGACCCAAUUAAUAGAAGGUUCCAAAAACUAAUAUGCUAAAUUAAAUAGAUGAGCCAGUAACAUGUACUCGAAAAAUAACAUUUUGUCACUUGAUCCACCCUAGGCAUGGAAGGCCUUGACAACAGCAAUUCCCAAUGUGACCAAACUCUUGAUAAUGUAAGUCAGGUAAAUUAUUCGUUUGUACUACUAUAUGAUCAUAUGCAACCUCAAAAUGGCUAUCUUACUUAAAUGCAACGAUACCGACAAAGGUACUGACACAGUCAAACCAAAACUUGAUGUUUAAUAGAUCACCAAUUAAUAGUUAACUCCCUAGGAAUCUCCCACUAAAUAUUCACUUAAACCUAACUACUAACAAGACUUCCAUAGACAUGCAUUCACUCCUGAUUCAUCCAGUGCGUACUACACCCAAUAUUUUUAAAAGCUCCCAAGAAGUACUGGUCCAGAAAGAAGGAAGCCUUCAGAGCGAUCAGUUGCUAAAUUAUACCCAGGUAGAUACAUGUGAAACAAGCAGGGUUGUGUCCACAUACCCCAGGAAGUGUGCGUUUGUUGUGAUAUGCAUUCACUGCCUUGUCAGCUUCCUCCCUUGAUGGGCAGAUCAGGAAGCAGCAGCCUGCAACAUCCAGUAUAACUUUAUCAAAAUGAAACUGAUAUAUCACGAGGGUAGCCAUCUGAAAUGAAGUCCACUGGAACACCGAAGGUAACAAAGAUUAUCAUAUGAAAACACUGGAGUAAUAAUCUCAAAGUUUGUAGCAAACACAAUUUUGAAUUUGCAUAUGUAGGAUGAUAUCUUAUUUAAUUGUUGCCCUUGGGAGAAUAAAAGCAACACUUAAAGGUAGCAAAACUUGAAAUACCAUGAAAAGGUAAAUUCCAUGAUGGCACAAUUUUUUUAAAAAACAAAUCCACCGAAACAGCAACAAACACAUCAUAAUUCCACUGGUCCUCAAUUCCAGCCUAUCACAGGUACAGAGAUGGCAGAUAUUUGUCCAGCUAUUGGUUGAAGUGAAUCUGUACUAACAUGCACAGCUUACAUCCGGGGUCCAAUCAGCCAGCUCAAAUUCGACAUCAAGUCAAUCUAAAUUUUCGAACAAAAGUUUAAUUUGCAUCCCAGGGUCAAAAUAUACACCAGGAGCAACAAAGUUCAAAUGUUAGUGAAAACCAAACUUCUGGCAAGAAAAAUAAAUACCAAUCUGAGUUUAGACCCCACGCAUAUGAACAGCACAAAAUUCCAAAAACAAAUUACUGGCAUUGGGCCAAACCCCACUCAUUCAGCAAACAAUGCAUGCUCAAGUGGUCGAAAAGCGGAUAAUCUCCAGUAAACACCCAAAUCUCCUAGUACAUAAUUUGGCAAACAGCGGCCAUAAGAUGAGUAACCCAAAAUGAAUCGAGGAUAAACAAGACUUUGGCGAAGGUUUUGGCUUUUCUCCCCCCAUGAAGCUCACAUCAUAGCAGAAGCUACCAAUUCAACGGAACCCAGCACAAAACUCCCCAUGAACAGCCGGAAUUCCUCACAUUGCGCCUAAAUCGCCACGAAAGAACCCAAUUCUCAGUAAAGCACGAAACCUUUUGGUCUGAACUCUGAAGAAACAGAAUAUGCGAGCUGAAAUUCCUCGUCGGCAUUGCCGCGAGCAGAGCACAGAACACACAUGGGCAGCCGGGAACACGGGGAAAAAAGAAUGCAAGCAACAGAACCAUAUUCCGUCCUUCCCCCACAGAGCCGCGCCCAGAUCCCGACCCCCUCCGAAAAGAAAAAACAGAGACAAGAACGGAAUGGCACAUUGCAAAGGGGAGCGAGCAGUGUGGAAAUCCUCUGGCGGGGGGCUGUACGGAUCCGGACCUCGUGACACCUUGGUGGCCUUGUCGCGGAUGACGGUGACCUCGUCGACGAUGGCCACGUCGCGGAACAUGGCGGCCAGUUCCGCCUCCGUCAUCUGCUUCGGCACCUGGCCCACGAAGAGCUUGACGGAGCUCUCCUCCCUGCCGCUGCCGUCCUCCCCGCCGCCACCUCCCGCCGCCGCAGCGGGCUGGUGGUGGUGGUGGUGCUGCUGCUGCUCCCUGUCGCCUGCGUCCUCCGCCAUUGGGCUGCGGCGCGCGGCUGGCUGACUGGCUGGCUGGCGAGCUAGCUGGCUUAGGGUUUGCGUGGGAAUUUCGGCUGGCCUGGUCUAGCUCGCGUAGGUGGCGGUGGAGGAGACGGAGACGGAGUCGGGGCAAUUAAUAGCAGUAAAUAAAUAGUGUACAACUGAAUUAGGACAAGGCGAAGAGCGAUGGAUAUGGUAUGGCGGCCAAGACAGACAGAGUGACAGACAGAGAGGGGAAGGCAGCUGUGUGUGUGCUGCUUCCUGUGAUUUCCCCUCCCCUCUUCUUCUUUGGUCCCAACGGUUUUCCCCCUUUUUAUUCGUCUGCGCUCGCUUUUCAAAUCUGCUGGUGUUUUCUUUUCCAUCUGUGAGAUGGUUGCAUCCAUUUGUAACAUAAAGAUAUGUGUCUGUAUUUAGUAUUUACUGGAGUACUCUCUUUAUCCAGAUAUAUGAAACAUUUAAGGCAAAUUUUGAUUAAUUAUUAGACAAAUAAUAUUUCACAUGUGCCAUCAAAUUUUAUUUUUUUGAAUAUGGAUCUACUCCCUUUGUCCAGAUAUAUGAAUCAUUUAUGACCAAUUAUUAGACAAAUCGUAUUACACAUGUGUCAUUAAAUUUUAAUAUUUUGAAUAUCUUUAUCUUUAUUACUACUUAAAGAGUUUUUACUUGGUGGUCGUCAAUUCACCUUCCAUGCAUCUUCUCUCCAAACACUGGCAAGUGACAAAUGGGCCCGCCCCCAUCACAGUGACCUCACGUUCUUCUAUCGCUUCAAACUCCAAGUUCCUCCAAUAUCUUAUUCUUUUGCGGCCUCCUCCCUCAAUGAAGCCGCAGUUGCCGUCUCCACUUUCUAAUUCCCAAUUCCCCAUCAACCGACUAUUAGAGCAAAAUAAAUACUAGUGACAAAAAUCAAACAACACAUAGUGUUAUUAUUCUGUCGCAAUGUAACAUGUUCCGUAGCAUCGCACGGGCACCUUGCUAGUACAUAUAAAGAUCUGAGUUGGUGGUCGUCAAUUCACCCGACCAAGACUAUUUAAUAGCUUGUUAGAUGAUCGUCACUUGAUUGCCACCCAUGUCAACUCCGUAGAAAAACUCUUAAUUCACACUAACUAAGGAGUGUCUAGUUUGAUGAUAGAUUAAUUAUUAGUGAAGCAGGCAUGCGCAUCGAUCUUCUUCAUGCUUUGGAAUUGGAAAUCAAAGUUACUCCCUCCGUUCCUACAUUCUUGUCAUGGUUUUAGUUCAAAUUUGAAUUUAGAAACCACUGACCAAGGGAGUAGCAUGCAGUAAAAGUCACUUGCCAACCAUGAAAAAUUGGAGUCACCAUGGGGACAAGGACAGAACAGGCCUGCACCCCAAUUGGAACUAUCCCUCUCAGUCCUCGUCUUGGGAAGGUUGGCAUGUCACUCUCUCCUUAAUCCGUCUGAUAAAAAUGGUGCUGGGUGUUUCCAUGGAGAAAUGGCUAGGUAACCAUGUCUUGUUCCCAUAAUGCAAAAACAAAUAUCACCUCGAAAAAUAUGCUGCAAAAAGGAAAAGAUAAAACCCUUCUGUGUCAAACAAAAAAGAGAAGAGACAGAGAAAGAGAGCGAGAGAGAAACCACAUGGUGUCCGUAGCAAUCUGAAUGAUCAUUCCGUUUUGCUUUGGCAUGUGUUAAGAAAAAGGGAAAGACAGUGAUGCCUAACACUAAUAACAGGGUGGGUGCCGCGUUGUCCGAAAUGACCUUGGGCACCAGUGCCAUAGAGGCUGUCUCCCUUUUUAUAGAUAACUUUUCAAAAAAGAGAUACUCCUACACAGUUCAGGCUUGGGACAAACCGUUAAUCUGCUUCGCCAUUAACAUACAGAGAAUGUUCCAGAACUUCACCAUCUGAGGCCCUGGUCGACCGAGACUGUCUCGCUUCUAAUAACACUUCAAGAAGGCCAACUAAAACCUUUCCCGGUUAUCUGUUUUUAAAUAACCUACCGCAGUUAACUUAAGACAGAGUAUAAUACUACGGAGUAGAACACACGCAGCGAGGAGAAGUGUAUAUAAAACAAAUUAAGCCGGCUCCAGCGCAUUCCAGUUGUUGAAAAUAGGGGACAAAUUGAGAAGAAGAAACAGAGACAGGGCGGCAAGCGCGCCACAUGCAUGAUCGGCGCUCACCGGUAAUUGUGUGUAACAUGCCCGCCAAGUCUAGGCUGGCUUCCAGUGCGGCCACAUGCCGCAUGCCACGCCAUGCCGGUUGGCCAUCAACUGGCUUAGCUAGCUAGGCUGCCGAUGGUCAACUCAGAACAACCACCAAAAUUAAUAUUCCUUUUUUUUUCUGCAUCACCCACUGCUUCGAUUCAUUUAUUCCUCCUGGAAUCCAACAAUAUGUUUUUUAUAAAGCGACCACCUUUAUGGCAGUUGUAUUAUCAUAUUAUUACGUCAUUUUAAACGUUACUGUCAGGGGCCGUUGGAUCCUCGGAUCAGACGGCUCAUGUCCACCAUCAACUCGUUUUCUUUUCUUUGUAUCUUUGAUUGAUGAGCCUUCUUCCAUUUUCUCCUGUAACCCAACAUGCAAGAACUUGAGUUGCACAACGAAUCAUCUCAGCCAAGAACUUGAGUUGCAAAACGAAUUAUCUGAUCCAGUAGUGUUAAUUUACAGCGACGUACUCAAUCUGGGUGGAUAGCAUCGAGGAUUUCAGUAUCAGAUAGGCCUAACAGAAGUAGCACGGAAGUCAGAUAGAGGGCAGAAUUUACACUUGCUAGCUGGUACUCGCAGACCAGCUCAUGAUGAUGAGGAGCAGCGGCGGAGUUUCUUCGACUUUUCCACAGCUAGGGAGGAGGAGGAGGGGGGUAUGCGGGCACAGAGGCUGCGUGCUGGGGAGGUCGCGGUUUGAUGUCCCGGGUGCGCAUGUACUCCAGGAACUGCCCCGGCAGCUCUUCCAGCAGAGACUGGGCAACCGAGACAUUACCACCUGCACAUAUAAAAUUGUCAUAGGUCAGCAACGAAAAAAUCAGGCUUGUUUCAUGUCAGGAUCUGAGUACUGCUGCUGUUUGCACUGGUAUAAAACAGCUGGAGUAGCAAGAGCCAAACCUCGAACUUCUCUCAUGGGGACAAACUGGACAAUGUCACGUGUCGCGACCCUGCCGGUUGAGCUUUCCAGCCGCUUGCCAAAGUCUGCAUCUAGGAUCUGCCAGAGAGAAAAUUGCCAGAUAAACAUGUGGCGGUGCUUUGCAUUGCAGUGGAAAGUAAAGGCAACACUAAGAAAUACCCAGGUGCCAAGGUACAACGUGUAACAGCUCAGCCUAAAAACGGUGAGGUUUUCGUUUGUUGUCAUGCUCCCAUUUACAGUGUAUAUGCAUACAGUUUAUUCAAGACUUAAGUGAAAUCGUUCAGAGAAUGAAAUCUUAUCAAAUGCAAGUAAAUCCCUUACCGUCAUUUGAGAGAAAUCAGCAUUUCCUACUCCCACAAUGAGAAUUGAUAAUGGUAAAUCUGAUGCCCUUACGAUAGAAUCUUUUGUUUCUUGCACAUCAGUGAUAACACCAUCCUGCAAAAAGAAUGCUCAGGUGAAUUUUAUGAACUAACAGAGGUCACACGGGGAUACCUGAUUACAUACUGUGAUAAUGAGCAAGACAAAAUAUUUGUUGUUUCCAUAUUGCACAGAAUGGCUAGCAAUUUCUGCAGCUUUGUUGAUCACGGGUCCAAACAAGGUCGGCCCAGCGAGGGAAACACUGUAAAGAGUAGAGGAGUACGCUGACAUGAUGCCUUCAACUCCAACAACCUGUUUUCGAAAUAGAACAGUCCAUAAACAUGAAUAGCAGUCUAAGAAGUAAAAAUGGUAUCUGCUGUAAAAUUAGAAAAUACGAAACACCAGUCUAAGCAGUAUAAAUGAGAUCAGUGCUAUAUAUAUGACGCACUCCUUUCUGGCAACAUUCAGCAUGACUUCAGAAACAGUGCCACACAUAACUUGUAGCACCAUAGUUUGUGGCUGUUACAAUAGUGAUGGCAUGUAACCCGAUAGGUACAAAUCUUCUACACUUCUAAACAAUGUAGAGAUUUUUUUUAACACACUCCUUUAUAUGUCAUUCAUAAAUUCAACAAGAAUCUAAUUUCCGAAUGAGCAAUAGGGGCACAUAAACAUUUGCAAGGAAAGCCAAAACAGGAGGCUAUUUGCAGUUGAACACAAUUGGGGUUAGAGCACUACUAAUUCUUGCGUGGGACAUUAUUUGUUCUGUUAAUACUACUGAAAAAUGUGGAAACAAAUGAAGCUCAUGGCUUGAGUUCAAUCCUGCAGUAAACAAAUAUCCAAAAGUUGGUUCAUAGGGGAAUGACUGGUUGCUCUGAGGUGGUUAUACCAAAUUUUAGCACCAAGAUUAUUAAGGGGGGUGACCAAAUUUUAGCACCAAGAUUAUUGUACAUUGUCAAAAAUUAACUAAAUAAAAUAGACAGAACUCAUCAGAUAUGAAUCUCUCACCUCACAGUCAUUGGUAGUUGAAUUCAAAUUAAAACAGUGGGAUACAUGUCCUUGCGGUAUCUUUGCUCCAAAACCCCAUGCAGGGAAUCGCCUAUCAUUGUCAUAAAACUGCAGAACUUCGCUAACCCCUAGUAUUGCCUGGUACAUCAAAUGACUUGAUAAGAGCGAUAUCCUUUUCAGAAAUAUCUUAGCACGUCAGACAAUUCCUAACCUGCUGGUAUGAGUUUGGUCUGCCAGAGGGGUCAAUGUAGUGCAAUGACUGUGGUGUGCGAGGGUCACCAUUUGAAGCUGGAAACAUAUAACAAAAUAAAGAACAGACAUAAAACUUAUAUGAUUGACAGGGCUACAGGUAAAUAGUUUAUGAUCAGAAUCUAGAACUUACCAGUAAAAUCUACAGCCACCAUAAAAUUGAGCUCAAAACCGCCAGAAAUAUAGUCCAAGAAAGUAUGUUGAACUUUUUCCUGGAACUUAUCCAAGAACAACUGCCCUUUCAACUGAACACAGAUUAGAUACAUCAAAACAGGUUAGAUCCAGUGGAAUAUUUUGCUCAGUACAUUGCAUCAUAUAAGAAAAAAAAUGUAACCUUCUUUUGUCCCUUAUGGCUGUAAAAGUUUGCUCCAGCCUUAGAAUUAUGGAUAUUUUGAAGCUGAGUGAUAGUUGUCUGGAGGGCCCUAUUUGUCAGAAAAACAACGACAGUUAUGCUCAGGAUGAAUGGCAGAACAUGCCAUAAUACUUUCUCGGUCAACCUACCCAAUAAAUUGAUGGUCUCCACUGGCAUCGAAAUCAAAACACUCAACUAGCAGUGGGUUAUCCUGAAAUGAAGUAGCAGAUUAAAACCAGCAGACUACUGUAGAAUUGCGUUUGUGUAAAACCAAUGCUAACACAAAUAUCCAUAUAUACAGAAAAAUGCACUUGCCUUGCUACCGUAUUGUUGUGAUGUCAGUGUUAUGGGCCUCCAUACAGGGUUUAAAUUGUUAAUGACCACUUCUGUUUUACAUAUAGGAACGGCAACAGAACUUUCUGUCAGUCUCGAUACUUUCAAAAAGGGAUCCUGCACAAUAAAAAUAAUUUAUUUAGAACUGCAACUAAUGGGACAUCUUAUAACUAGGAUGGAAAUUAUCCAUACACUUUUGGAGAACAUGUCCUUGUUAUCCAGGUUCAGGCAGUGGAAUGUCAUCUCGAUUGCAGUCCUUGAGGAAGAACUUUCCUCAGAAUGUACUGUUAUUGUGCCCAGAAGGGCAUGUUGAGAACCACUUCGGAGGUUCAACGUCAGGCUAUGGUUGGACUUCGUGACAAUCUGUGAGAAGAGCGAAGGAGCGCAAAAUAAAUAUCAAGAGACGGCAUUUGUGCUUUUUUCUCUUCGUCAUUUGCAUUUAUUUAGAGAAAUUGUAUACUGCAAUGAGACUUCUUAUUUCUGGUAGAUGCAUUUGAUCAUUUAUAUGACGUUGCACAACCUCAGAUAAAUUGCAGCUUGCUUCCCCUAGAUAAUCUUGCUCAUUCAAGUUCAACAUCUGCAUAAGACAAAUAAUGCAAAGCUUCAAAGUUGCAUAUAAAGGAACAGAGUAGAAAUUCUACGCAGGCUAUGCUGCUACUGUCUUGCUAAUGCUGUAAAUAGCUUAGGUAAAAGAUAGCCUAUCUAGUACUCCCUCCGUCCCAUAAUUCUUGUUGAACUAAAACAACGACAAGAAUUAUGGGACGGAGGGAGUAAUUGCUAGUUUUUCUGCAAAGCAAAAUAAUUGAGAAUCAGUUCACUACCCAGAUUGUAUCGAACAAAUACUGACAACUGCAAAAAUUCUACAUCUUGUUUUGAGCAGUUGUUGACUGUUUGCGUACAAUAAUUAUGUACAGUUUAAUACCUUUUGACCUUUUGACCAGAUAUUACAAUAGGCAGGUGCAAAAUAAUGAGUUUACAAACACCAGCUAGCAUGCUCACAUGUGUGUGGGAGAAAUCAUGAUGUUCAAGUAUAAAAUAUAAUGUCCAAUCUGGAUAUAUACUACAUGUUUUACACCAGUUACUCGAUCCAUUAGUAUUAGAGGGGUUUUAACUCUUUGUUGGUAAAUAUGCAUAUCCAUAUCGGAGUGUUUUGGUAUAUUUGGUUAUUACGUAAUAACAUUUUUUUGACAAAAAGAAAAUGCACUCAUGUAUGCAGGUGUUUCUCUUAUGUACCAAUUGGCUGCAUUUAUAGGCAUCGCUACAGAAGGCGUAGUACAAGGAAUUGAUAGUUUGGCGCAAAGCAAGUAGAGUGGAUCACUAGGGAGUUUAUGUCUCAGUUUGGGUGGCGUGCUAGCAUGACAUUGCUUAGUUCGUAGACCAGUUCAUGGUGUGGCCUCUCACACUUUGAGAUGUGGUCACAUGUUUUGUGUUUGAUAUUAAUAAUGUCAGGCAUUAGGCUAUAUGCGUCCUGUAUGAAGAGGCCGGGGGUAAUAAAGCUUCCGUUGGUAGAAAACAAUGUACUGAAUUGUUACCCCUUUACUAGGCAUCUAGACUAUGUUCAACAUCUGGGCUUUUUUUUCUGCAUGACUGCCUUGUCUUGUAUUGAGACCGGAACCCUUUUGCAUUAUUUUCUAUUAGGAGCAUGAAAGGCUUAAAGGAUUUGCAUCACCAAAUGUGGCUGAACAAAAGCAACUAUGGUUUGACUUCAGGCAUGGCUCUACAGAUAAUCAAGUAUUCCAAUUGAAUGUGUAAAGUAAAAAAAAUGAAUUAAGAAUGACAUACCUUCACUGGUGUAUUAUGGUACCUUGUGUCAAUGUCAUAUAUCCUGAAUCUGUCAUUAGUAGAAGAAAAGGUAGCAGUAAGUACGAGCUUUCUACAGGUGAAAUGUACAUUUAUAUGUUUCAAACUUACACAAGAGGUUGCACAAUCUCAAAUUGGUAAUUAACUGUAGCUUUUGUGAUCCAUGAGGGUUCCAGUGAAUUCAAUAUCACUUCAGUGCGGCCAAUCUCUUCUAACUUCCCAUCUAUCUUUGCGUAAACCACUAGCAUAGGAUCACUCUACACCAGUAGCAGAUAAUAGUUAAAGUUGUGGUUGAUACAUGCACAUACACAAGCAACCAAGCACAAUUAAGUACCAUAGCUUUUGCUAUAUGCAGUAAAAAUAUUUGAACAAUAUUCAAACACAACUCGUGAAUGUAAAUAAUGCAACGAUCUUCGGCAUGUAAACACAUAUAUCAUAUACGGAGUAUAAACUAAAAGAGAUCAAAUCAACAUAUCAUUCAAAUGAGGCAUUUGACUUUCUGGGUUGGUGGUUUGCCUUGAGCAUGAAUCAUGUAAAACUUGGUUUCACCUAUUCACAAUGUAAGCCAUAUUUUUCUUUUGUUAAAACUUAAUAUUUGCAUGGCAAGUAGAUGUCCCACUGGAAUCGUUGCUCUUCUAUUACAUAGAACCUACAAGUUUAAACUAGAAAAUCAUCUUUGUUUACCUUUUGUAUCACAACAAUAAGCCAAAUCAUGCCAAUAUAAAAAUGCAAUUAUAGCUCAUGCACAAAAUUUAUUGGUCUACAAGAGGUAAAAACUGUAUAAUAAUUAAUAAGAGGGUAUAAAAAGGACACAUGGACAUAGAAGCACAAAACUACAUCGCUUCACACACAACAACUUGUUAUUUCCUUAGUCUUAACUUAAAGCUUUUAGUGAAGAGCCAAAGAGUAUCCAAUGUUGAGAAGCACCUGUUUCAGUUCCAACAAUUUAAUUCCAUUUUCUAAGUUAUGACACAGUAAGCUGUACUACUGAAAUGAAAAUUGCAAUAUAAAAUGGAAUAUAUUUUGUUUUCCUUUCUUCCUUUUCUUUUCGUUCUCGUUCUUCCAGUUUUUUCUGCCCUUUUCUGUCUGUUGAUCGGACAGACGUUGUUACCUCAGACUCCUUGUCUGUUUGGAAUAUAUGAGGUAGACAAUUGUCUACCUUCUUAUAUGCAAAAAUUGCAAUAUAGAGAUUGAAAUGCUUAGAAAAUAAUAAUUACAAUUUGUACCUUAGAAAGAACAUCCAUAUUCCUCAACUUGGAUGCCGAAAAAGAUAGCUGUGAUGAAGGAAGAUGUAACAUGUCAGUGUACGAGAUCAGAUCGACAUCCACAAUUGACUACUCCCUCCGAUCCAUAUUAAUUGGCGAAAUAUUACAUGUAUCUAAACGCUUUUUAGGCAUAGAUACAUCCAUAUUUGUGCAAAUUUGAGACAAUUAAUAUGAAUCGGAGGAAGUAACUGAGAACAUGUUAGCAUGCAAUGGGCACGUACGUCGUACAUCAAAUUCGUAAACAGUAUAGCUGGCUUGAACAUAUAGGGUAAAAAACACUCCAACUCUCCAAGCAAAAGACUAUAUUUGGGCAUGCAUUAAAACCACUAUGAAGCAUUUCCUAAAUCCCCAAUUCAGACGAGCAACACCAUUUUCAAAACUUCAGUGAUAGCCCCCAAAACUUCACAUGUCAAAAUUUGCAUAUAGCGACACAGACAAAGAAAAAAAAAGUACCGUUGAAACCAAAACCAAAUCCGUAAUUCGCACGGGCAGAGAAUUUGCAAUGCUGAAAAGGUUGGUGAGAGAAUCGAAACAUCUAGUUCGCUGUGAUCUAGUGAAAAACGAACCACAUUUAUCAAAUAAACAACACCAAACCCGCCUAACCGGACAGCGAAGCCCCAAAUCUACCUCGUGAUAACCCAUCGCGACGAACCCCAACUCCAAAAUCCCACUUCAAUUCAAUCUCAACGGGCGGGCAAUACAAAUCCACGAGUAGCGAGUGGUGGAUACUAGGGUUUUCCGCGGAGCGAUGAUACCUCGAGAGGCAUGUAGAGGCCGCGGAGACCGUUGUUCUGGAGGAGGUAGUCCACCGCCUCGUUCAGCCCGCCCUGGCCCUGGCCCGCCGUCGCCGGCCCGCGGCCCCCGCUGGCGCCUGCGCCGCCGACGGCCUCCAUGCCGCCGCGCACGUCGCCGGAUAAGCACCCUCCCAUAUCUCCGAUCUCUCUCCCUUCACCCAACGGAGCCUGCUGAAGUUUGAAUGCGAGUUGACUUGUGAACUGAUCGUUGCGUUCUCCGGAAAUCCUGUUUCUCCCAGAGGAAAUAUUUGUAGGACGGGAGACGGGAAGCGGUUGAGCCUGGAAGCUCGGAGGACACGAUGACGCGGCGGUCCCACACGCUUUUUCUAUUUUUGAAAACCGAUCUGCAGCAUGAAUCUUCCUCUUCCUUUUUCUCCGAAAAUCUUCCUUUUUUCCCAUUAUUACGCGGUCUAAAACCAUGUAGGAGUACUAGGGUAGUUUCAAUCAACAACAAAGUACACGGAAAAUUUAGUAGUGCUCGAAUACCGGAAGUUUCCAGGCAUGGAAGAGUAAAGAGCCGGCAUUGUAAAAGAUUUCUCUUGUUUUUUUUUGCGAAGAAAAAUAUUUCUCUUGUUGGUGACUCCAGAUUAUAGAUCCAUGGAGCUAUUGUGAGGUGCUACAAGCGUUGCCAGCUAUUUUUCCCGCGAGUUGGCAGCCCACUUGUGUAUCCAAUUUACAAAUUAAAUCUUUACUCCAUGAAGAUCAAAAUUGGCAGGACUGACACUUGUUAACUUUGCACAAACCAGUGAAACGAUUAUGGAUUACUGUAUUCGACAACAUUCAUUUUAAACGGGUAAUGUAUGUUUUUUAGUCGUAGCAACAUAAGCAAUAUAAGAGCGUGGCAUUGGCUCUAGUAACGGCAUAGGGAAUAGCAAGUCCUUAGCAAACCUAUUAAGAAUUAUUAUUAAUGCAAUCGAGUAUUAUUCAUUCUACCGUAAGAUUAGCGUAAAGCCACCAUACAUGGUUCAUUGCAACAUAACAUUGUCGCAACUUUCUCCUACUGUGAAUGAAACAACAGCCCCACCUGUUAGGUUCUCGAAAAAAAUGUUGUUUUUACGGUGACAAUAAGUAAUGUAAAUAAUGUGUAUAUUUUCCUUAAUUAUCUACGUGGGAGAGAUAAAUUAUCAAAUUGGUGCAUCUGGGAUAUGCAUUAUCACACACUAACCCGAGAGAAACUAUAAAAAAUUGUACUAAGACAGACAAAUUCCUACACCUUGAUGGUUUACCAUGGUAUGUGCUCUAAUUGAGAAUAUUUAUUUUCAGCUUACCAUUGGAUCGAUCAAUGUUUAUCUCUAACUUUGUAUAUUUCCUCUGUACGUGUAUGAAAAGUCUAUCUCUAAAAAUCACUAUUGACCACAUACAUUAAUUUUAUUGGCAUUCCAAUAUUUAUUCCUUUGCACGCAUUUAGGUAUUUUUUUGCUUUAGUAGUGGUGUUUUGCUUUGAUAUAGGUGUUUCAUCUUGGUAUUAUUGUUUUUCAACAUUUACGUCUUCUGCAUUUUUUCUUUUACUAUACUUGGUCAUACCAUUUUUCACAAGAGACCUUACAAGGUUAUUUAGGCCUAUUUGUUGCUAUCCAUUUUUCCUUUAUUUUUGAUAGCGAGAUACUUUACUGUUUUUUUCUUUGCGUGUUUUUUUAUGGCACGACAGGAUGCUGCUUAGUUUUAAAAAAAUACUCCAAUAUUUAAUUCAAAGACUUAAAAUCGGUCGAAAAACAAGAUAUACUUCCUCCGUCUCAUAUUAAGUGACUCAAAUUGCACAAAUAUAAAUAUAUUUAUAACUAAAUAACGUUUACAUGUAAUAUUUCAAUACUUAAUACGACGGAGGGAAGUACGUAUGAUCAUGUUUGUAUCCUAAUCACGACCCAAACUGGAAAGGGAAAUGGGAAAAAUGAGAGCGCACGCGGGCGUUGCUUUCUCGUCAUGCGGGUUUUCUGUUCCGAAUGAAUAUGUCACUGUAUCAGUCAAAUCACCACCACGCUUAUGCGCCAAAAAAAGAAAAACACCACGCUCACGCUCCUAUUGUUGAAACUGACCAGGUGAGACGUGGUUCCAAAUUUCCAAAUGUCACGUCCAACAUCCAGCGCGUCGUGACCUUGACUUCCGGUCAAUGGCAAAUUGCCUCGCGUUUUGCUGCCCGUGUUGCCCGGUUGGUUAAUUAGCUGGUGAAUCGAAUUUCUCGAGAUCGGACCGAUGGUUGGUCGCGGGAAAGUAUCGCGCGCACGCACUGAUUACAAAUCGUACCGUUCGUGCAAUGCCCGUGCAAUUCACCAAAUCUGGAACCGUGAAGCGCGUAUACUUUUUUUUGACGGGGUGAAGCGCGUAUAGUUCGUUACUUGGAAGUUGCAUUUCAAAUCUGGGACACACGUAGCCUAAACUGAGACACAAAGCACACACUUUGAUUUUUAUAAUAGCCAAGGAUCCUAGGAAGACGGGGAUGUGGUAAGCACCGUCUUGGCUCUUCGGGUUCUUGACCAACGGCAUGGACGCAAUGGGGCGAUACGAUGCCAGUGAGCUCGCCAAACUUCUUGGUGCCGUUAACGGCGUCUAUCCAUAUCAUCUCUGUCCAGCACAUGUCUACUCCCUUUCUUAAUCCCUCUGUCACACAUCUGAUAAUCUUUCUGUCACCCCACGUGCAGCUCCAUCUUUAUCUCCUUCCCUCUCUCUCUGUCUCCCCCAUCCAAGCACCAGCUUUCUCUCUCUUCUCUCUUUCUCCCCAAUCUCUCAUGCUUUUGCAGCAGUUCCGCAUGGGCGCCCGAUGCCGCACGUUGUUGGUCCGCCGUUGCCCAAGCGGCUAUGGGGAGCAGCUAGACGUGGAGGAGAAGAUGGGGGAGCAGCAGAAGGAGGAGGCUAGAUCUUCACCGUCUCCUUCGCAGCCGACCUCCACCAUCACGACCUAACUCCACCUCUAUCUAUAGCACUUCUCCCCUAUCCGUGGUAUCAUGAGGGACGUGCGGUUCAUAGUUUCACUCGCAAAUAGUUCUUUUUUCGUUCUUCUUUUUCUUCUAGAUCCAUCAUCGGUGGUGAGCUCUAUCUCGUAUUAACUAUGUACUCCGUAUUUGUUGUACCAUAAGGAGGCUAGAUCUUGUUAUUUUGCUUUUGGAUUUCUUGGUUUUCUCUCUGAAUUAAGAGCACGGGUAAGAAAAAAAGCGAAGAAACUUAGUACUAAGUUUUACCGCAUGCUCGUACUAUGAUUUUUUUCAUGUUACAUGACGUACCAUAAUGUAUUUACAGAGGAGGUAGUAAGCAAUAAUGAGAUACAGUUCGUAUUGUGAUUUUUUUUUCUUGGUACAUGAGAUUGAUGUAGUCAGUUUUGGUAUCUUUUCUAGUACAUGACAUACUGUUACGAGUUGAGGUACACAAUCUUAAUUUUUCACGAGGUACUUAAAGCUGGGAGAAAAAGAUUCACAUCAUACGGUGUGCAUAUAUAAUUAAUGAUAUACUUUUCAUGUACCUUAAUGUACACGUCAUGUACCUUAAUAUACAAGUCAUGUACCUUGAUGUACCUCGCAUGUACAAAUUCAUAAGGUGUUUGUCAUAUACCAAAUUGUACUCACAAAAUAGUUGGUGCAAAGCUGAGGAAAAAUAUAUAUACAUGUCGCAUGCAAAAAUGUGUCAGACUGUCACAUGCAAAAGCUGGAGAGAGAAUGAGAGAGAUAAAAAGUUGUCAGCACAUCACAUCAUCAUGUGUUAGCCCUUACUGCUGAUCAUCUUUCUCUAAUGUAAUGCAUAGUGGCUGGCAUCAAUCUCAAGGCAUAUCUUACGGCGACCAUGAUAGGGGUAGAUAGCGUUAUUCGUACCGCCUCCGCUUUAGCGUGAGCUCGGGGGUACUAGCCCGUGAGGUAGAUAGCUCGGGGGCAGAAAGCGAACCUGGUGCUCCAGAUCGCGCGGGCGAGCUGUGCCAGGUGGGGGUCGCGGGUACAGAUGGCAAUGGUCCCCAAACCCGAAUAGCCGACGGGCAUGUGGGUCUGGUAAAAAUAUACCCGCCGGUAUGUAAUUGGAAAAAUUUCGGACCCGUCAGAUCUGCAGGGUUCAAGUUUGUUAAUGCCAGAUCCGGACCGCAUACCCGCUUUGUUUCUUUGAACCUCACACAUCAUACACCAUACCAUACAGUAAAAUGAAUGCGGCUGGUCCAACUUAAAAUGGCCUAGCAGCAUCUAACCACUGGCGGCCCAGGCCCAGCCCCGAACCUUAACUCCCUUCGGUAUGUCGGUCUGUCCCCACAUCUCCUCGCUCUACACAAGUCCAAUCCCGUCGGCCUCUCCUCCUCUCCCCCCAAGAAUCCAGCCGGCGCCUGUGGAUGAGGAGCUACUUUCUGAUGCCAACACCGUUGUGGAAGGAGGAGAGGUAGAGCACGUAGCCGAGCGUCGAGGCCGCCAACAAUCCCGUUGGCCUCUCGUCCUCUCCCCCAAAAAUCCAGUCGCCACGUGUAGAUGUUGAGCUGCUUCCUGACGACGGCAUCGUCGGGGAAGGAGGCGAGGCAAAGCACGCAGCCACGUCUCGAGGCCGCCGACGGCGAGCCAGAGGUGACGCAUGUGCGUGCCAUGCCGGAUCUCCUCAUCCAUUUCGUUGUCGCACGAGAUGCUGUAGGCCGCGCGGAUGCCGGCCUUGAUGGCCGGCGGCGAGGAGCUCUACGAGGAUGUGUCCCGUCACUUGUGCCCCCACUGGGAUGGCCGCGCCGCCUCCGCCUGGUGCUCCAUAACGCCAUGGCGAUGCUCGCCCUGUUGGACCGGACGAGUGCCUCCAAGUGUUGUGUCGGGUCGGGUCGCCCCGCAAGACCCGUGUCGCGUCCGGGUCUGGUUGAAUUUGGACCCGACACCGGGUCUUGGAUCGGGUCGCGGUUGCAUGGCGGGUGGACCCGGCCCUGAACCCAUCGGGUGCCAUAAAUAGUCGUGGGAGUAGAAUACGGUACAUGUUUAAAAUGAAUGGUGUACUAUCAUCAACUGAUUAAUAUAUCUACUAAUCCAUACUCAUUUUCAUAAUACAUCAAUGGUUUAGGCAGAAUCAACAGAUAGCAGGCUGGAGAUUACCUACCACUAGUACAUUUAGAUCUGUUUAUAAAGAUAAAUAUUUUAAACUCAACAGAUAGCAGUCUAGAGAUUAUCUACCACUACUCCUGCCCCUCCCGCCGCUGCCUGCAAGACCGACACCUCGUGCGCCUCCCGCCGUCGCCCGCCGGCCCGCCAGUCCCACGCGCCGCUCCUGCUCCCACAACGCCGCGCCGCCGCUCCCUCCCGCCGCGCCCUGUUCCUGCUCCUGCGCUGCGUUGCCGGAGCGGACGAAUCGAGGCCGAGCCAGCAGCUUCGCCAUGGCCACCAACGACGGGUAGGUGCAGGUCCUCCUCCUCCGCAAUCCAUGGAUUCGCCCUUUGGUGGUGACGAACAGAGAGGCGGGCAGGGAAGGAAGGGGCUCCUUGCCCUUCGUCGUGGAUCUCACCGAGGAAGCAGCGACUGUCAUCUUGGCACCAACGUCGGCGGCGACGGAUGGGCUUGGAAGAAGAGUUAGGCGAAGGGGAAUGUUUCUCACACCACGUCAUCGAUCCCGUCCUCUAAAACUAUUUAGACCGGAAUAAAUGAUUAUGGGCUGCCAGUUUUAGGGAUUCGAGGUGAAAGUUUGACUACGACAACGUAUAUAAAGACAAGGCUUAAAACACUCUUAAAACAGACUUUACUCUUUGUAAAAUAAGGGGGAUAAUAUACAGGGAGAUACUGCCGACUCGCGGGAAGAAAAAAACUUAUCGCCAUGGAUGUACAAAAGAAAAAAAAUCUUUUACAACUCCUCUUUUAAACUCAAAGUUGUAUUUUUUUUUCGAAAAAGAGGGAAUACUCCUGGCCUCUGCAUGGAUUGAUGCACACAGACAUAAUAUUAUUAAGUCAAGUAUCGUAACAACAUCCACAAAUUAUCUCAAGAAUGCUCAAAAGAAAAAACAUAAAGGCUGAAAAGAUCAUCCAUUAUCUAGCAUACGGUCGGCGUGCCACCCAAACUGACCGUAGAAAGCCCGUGCUUCCGUCUCCAUACGGCUGCACCAAAAAUUCAUAAAAUCCUUGGGCCCCGUCGGAAGCAGUGGGGACCAAGUACGGAGCCAGUAUGCCGCCCGACAGAUCACCUGCAAAAAUUUGGAAACUUUUUUCUGUUAAAAACGAGGUCAUUCCAACAAUUUCAAAUAGACCAACAAAUCGCACAAAACCCAACAAGAAUGAGCGAUUUCUCCAUCCCAUGAAACCAACGACCAAACAUAUUCGAGAUGCAAGUUGGUGGUGGUAAAUUAAAAGUCACAAAGACAACUCUUCACACCAAACACGCCAUAGGAAAAUCGAAAAACGAUUAUGAAUAGUUUCAUCUUGAUAAAAAAAGAACACCUUUUACUCCUACCAUGCAAGCUCUCGUCUCCCACGGCAGCUUUGUUGUCUGGCCUUGUGCCGUUAGCUCCGCCUGCUCUCCUUCCCCUUUCCUCCACCGGCUCAGCUGGCCGGAGUGGAAGGGGAAGGAGAGUAUGUACGUACAUAGUUGUUCUUGAGUUGCUUGGUUCGGGCACGGCAAGCUCGUUGCAUUCCUGCUGCCUCGACUGGCUUACUCCCCUUUCUCUUCGUUUUCUUUGCUUGAAUAAAUCCUGCCCAGAUCGGUGUACCCAACCGCUUGUUUCCACAUCUCAUAGGUUAAUUUGUCGGCGGUUGUUCAAAGCUACAUUUCAGGUCUCUUGGUGGCAGAUGCAAGCUCCUUUUCUCAUCCAACUUUGGCAAGCUCCUUCUUCAACCUCCUUGCAAGGCCCCCGUUGUGGGUUUCAGGACUUGCCGGUUUGGAAGAAGAAGGGCGGCGGCGCAUCUUCCUCUUCAUGGAGACGACAGCCCGAGGUAGGGGCAAAUCCAGCUUCUCCGAUGCGCAGGCGUAUUCAAGAACCUUGGCGCCAUGGAGAAGCUUUUCCUCCUCCAGAUAUGAAGGAGUUCUUCGAAGAGGUCGUGUUCUGCUGCACGUGGUGGCCGCCGGCGUGGGAUCCCCUGCGAUUCCAGCGGUGGUCGGCAGCGAACUACGCUUCUGAACGCGUGGCAACCAGAAGAAGAGAAAUCGACGCGUGCCCUAUGUACGUGUCUUGCAAGGGCCAAGUUGUAUUUAUGUUUUUCUAUUGGGUCCCAGAAGUUAUCUCUGGUUGUAACUCUGCACUAAGGUCCUUUGACCUCAGAUCUUAAUACAAGCUCAGUCUUGUUUUUUAAAAAAAGACACACUUUCUGCGAUCCUAAUUUCUUUUACCCAAGUUAUCUUUAGUGAGGACAACCUCUCGGCAUAGGAGUCAGGGCUAUCUUAAGUUUCCAAAUAAUUUUACGACGAAAUUUACAAUCAGUAUUAAAAAAAUCUGCUUGGUGAAGAAGCUGAACAAAGUUGUACGUAUUACUUCGAUGACAAAAAAAGAGGCGGUCACGGACAUGCUAUACAUGGCCGUGUCGCUGUGACACUCAAACCCAUUUCACCCGUCAAAUGCAGUAAAAAAGAAUCUCGCCUUUGAAAUAUCGGCGAACAUGGAGAGCAUAAGAAUCGACCCUAUCAUAAACCACCGAUCGAGCUAGAGCUAGCCCCGCCGUGUGUGCAGAUUCCGCUCGCCGAAGAAGCACGUACGUGGUCUCGCCCGCCGCGGAUGGACGGUUCCUCACGCUUACAACGCGACACGUCGAAAAGAAGAAGUAGGCCGGGCGGAGCCGCAAGAGGCGCGCUGCAUGCCCACGCGCGCGGGUAUAUAAAACGUGCCACAGGGGCUCGACAAACAAGAGCAGACGCAGAUCAUUCGAUCGACUUACGUACACACGCAGACGAACAGCUUCUCGUACGUGAGAUCACAAAGGCCUUCAAUAUGGUUUACUCGAUGGAUUUAUUCAUGUUGCAUCUCGUAUUCAGUACCAUGUUCUUUUUGACCCGGCCUGUUAAUUGUUAGCUGUAUAUCGGUCGAUCGAUCUCUACUUUUGCAAUAUAGCAAUGAUUAAGCCGAGAGUAGGAACUGACAGGGAUUUAAUCCAUCGGCGUUGAUUUAAUCAACACAUUUUUCCUGUCAGAGGGAUACCCGGUGCUCGACACCAAAGUAAGUAGGCAAGGAAUCAUGGGCGGCGGGCACGACAUGCACGGCCACGGCGGCGGCGUGAAGGGGUUCGUGUCCAACCUCGUCACCGGCGGUAAAGGCCAGGGCCACGGAUCAUACGCCGGCGGCGGCCAUGGACAUGGGCACGGCUACCAGCAGGGGUACGGGCAGCAGCACGGCUAUCCUCCCACCACCGGUGCUUACCCUCCGCACGGGCACGCCGGCUACGCGCCGGCGGCUUACCCCUCGCACGGGGCUCAACACGGUAACAUAACUUAUAAAUUGUCAUCAUCAAGCUAUAUACAUAGUGUGCACGAGCUGGGCCAAGUUGAGACGUACGUGCCACCCUUGAAUUUCAAACGUGCAUGCAGGUCACAUGGGGAUGGGGUCAUACCACACCGGGCACCAGAAGCACGGCGGCGGCGUCUACGGCGGCGGGAAGCACAAGGGCGGUGGUAUGUUCGGCGGCAAGCACGGCAGGAAGUGGAAGUGAACAAGUGGGCCUACACACAUCGUGCGCGCCCCAACCAGGCAGGCAGCUACUCUGUAUAAGCUCGCUUACGUACGUAUCUCGAUCGAUCAACGGCCAUGCUCCGUGUCAUGUAUACCUAAAUAAGGAGCUAGGCACGCCCGCACACGUACGGUGUGUGAUAGCUUUGCUUGCGGUACCGUGAGUCCGUAUGACAGCACAAAAUAAAGGUGUGAUGUAUAUACCGAACCGUAUUCGACUGGUCAUGCCGUUGUAAAACGUAUCGGCACGUAUCACUCGUCGUUUUCUUUUCUGCCCGCCGCUCUCGUUACUUUCCACGAUACUUUGACUACAAAUUACUCUAUUAAUAUAUAAUUAUAUGAGAUAGAUUCAUAUACAUUAUAUUCCUACUCAAGAAUAUUUGCUUAUGAUUAUGAUUUUGAUCAUAUUAGUCACAUAUUCAUUCUUCGCAAAAAAAUCACAUAUUCAUGAAGUAAUUUGUGGUCAAAUGUUUGGUCAACCGAAUUCUAAUAUACCUCUUAUUGUUGGACGGAGAGAAAUACAGUGCUACUAUUAGACAGUGUGAACUCUGAAACAUAGACUUACCCCCAACAAAGAAUCCUCGUUCUGUAUGUAGCUCUUCGAAAGAAUCACCAUUCGACUGCAUUUUUCAGAAAAUUCCCAUUAGACUACAUAUCUAUGGUGGGCGUGUCGAUGAACAUCUGUUUGUACAUAUAUGUGUUUCUAAAGAAAAAUGGGCUGUGUAUUCACAUUGCACAGAUUUCAUUACUGAAAGAAACAUGACAUUGAAAGUAACCAUGACUUCCGUUUUAGGAGAAGAAAAAAGAGAGCAGCCAUGACUAUGCUACAAUUAAUUUUCUUUAGUUCGCUGUGCAAAAUUCAAGUAUUUGUUUGCUCACAUUAUUGAGCUGAUCUGCGGAGAGGGAUCCCUGACUUAAAGAGUGGGGUCGGGUCCACAUGUCAGUGACUGUAAAGUCAUUGAUUUUAAGUUAGGGGAUCCAAGUCCCUGAUCUGCUAGCAAGCAAUAGCUUAGUUGGUCAGUGUCUCCCUCUGUUUGUUUACGCGAGGUCAACGCGGUGAUAUUGUAUCCUGCAUCCUGCAUGCAUCGCUGCAGCGGCGAUGUGCUCUAUAAUUGUGCAAAGUCAACUCGAAAGAAAGCUUAUUUUUUUCAGCAAUUUGCCCAUUUUUAGGAGCUAAUAUCUGACAGGGUUGGGUACUUUUUUUGUUUUGUUUUGAGAAUCUCAGGGUUGGGUACUUGGGUGCUAGGGAUGUCAAGCCUGUGAAGCUCAUCUUUUUUUUUUAAGUUCUCUGCAAUAUAUUAAACCCAAGUGGGCCCAGAGAGCCCACACGGUACAACCCGAUACAAACAAGGACUCAAAAAAAUGGAAAAAUUACAUUCAAGUACAAGAACACGCGGCUUGCUCACAGGCAAAGUAACAAACACGCGUCCAACUCCACCCAUCGGGCGCACACGUGUCCCAGCCACUGUCCUGCUGCCGACCGAGAUUUGCACCACCGAAGGGCAGGGCAAGCCGCUGGCCGCCACCAGCGAGCAGGAGAUCCUCUAGGACAAACUGCCUCCGCAGAAUCGGAGGAAGGAGAAGUAGACGAAGCCAAGAUUCUUUGUUGAGCUUCUGCGUCAUCCACACCAAAGUGCCCAAACAGGGCAAGCAGCAUCGCCCCUAGAACGGGCAGAAAUCUCCAGCCGAAGAACCAUGCAUGAUCGUCAAUUCCACACCAUGGAAGCCUUGUCCCGGAACCGACUGGCGGGCCUCCGAUUGGGAGGUUGAGGGGAGCAAGAGCCUUCCAUGGGGUGGAUCUGAAGACCAAGACUAGCUCUACACUGGUGCAUGAGGUAAAGAUGAAGAACAUCACCCGAGUAGAUUAGGAAAGAAGGAACCGUGGGAUUCACCAAGAUUUCAUGUUCCCUCUCCCAACCAGCCCGCAUGAACUUCAAGGAGACGAAAUCAAGCACAUAGCAAGAUCUCCGGAGAAGAAGAUAUUUGGGGAACGAAUCCGGAACAUCAAGAAGAACCAACUUGCAGGGAAACUCGAAGAAAACAACAGGGGGAACCACAGAUGUAGCUUUAGGCAAAAGGAAAAACGAACCAAGGACCGCCAGAUCUAAGGGGAGGCAAUUAUUUAGGAAAGGAUCAGAGGAAGAAAUAGAACCAAAACCUUCAAAACGAAGGAUUCGGUGGAGAAAGCAGUGGCAAGAAAAAUUCUUCUAUCUAAGGUUCUACUGGAACCUCAAAUCCAAUGGAACCGAUCCACAUCAGUCCCCUCAGGCAACAACUUUAAUAUACAUAGCUAAAACGAGGACCAACCCAACCUCCCCUCCCCUCCCCUCCCUCUCCAGACAGCAAAGCCGCCGGAGAGGACGAAGAGAGGACGCGAGGAAGGAGGAGCUCGGAGCUGUAGCAGGAGAGGAGGAGGGAAAUGAGCUCCUUGAAGCUCAUCUUUGUCACCAACCUCUCUCCAAGUGUUUGCCCCGUUCGUCGGAACAAAAGAGUGCAAACCAGAGCUUGUUGAUUAAUUAGUUCUUAGAGCAUCUCCAGCCGGCGGUUCCAAAGGCCCCCCAAACCAAAUUUGGGGUCACCGGCAUCCAAAAACGGACCCAGCAGGUCCUCCAUCCUCCAAAUUGCGUUGGCGCGGCCUAAUUUUGGCACCCUCAGGCCAAACCCAAUCCACAGGGAGGCGAGCUGGGGCGCUGGCGAAAUUUUUUAUUGCUGCCGGCCCGCCUUGUCAGACACCAUUUAUUGCCCUCAUCGGCAUCGCCUCGGCUUCCCAGGCGAUUUACGGUGGUCGCCGGAUCAAACCGCCGUCCUGUCUCGUCGGCUUCCACAUGACGCAUCCCCGCGCAUUCCCAACGUUGUUUCUCACCGUGUUUCACACCGCCGGCGGGUUAUCUUCCGCACCCAUAAAAGGUAGCACUGGCUCGGAGAGCUCGCCAUCGCCAUUCUCCUUGCCAUUCGCCUCAUCGCCCUCGCCACCAGUUCUCUAGCCCUUCCCCUCCCCAAUGGCCGACGGUAACCCAUGGACGACCCGCUGGUGGCUGGGCGUCGACAAGGCCGAGGCAUUGGCGCGGGCUGGCUACCCCACGGCGCAGGACUACUGCCUGCCCCAUGGAUGGGUGCCUAGCCUGGACGGCAGACCCGUGGCGCCGCCACUUCAGGGAGCACGCCGCCGCGAAGCGAUCGUUGACAGAGUCGCAGCAGACGAUGUCUGAGUGGGACCGCCACACGGGCACCGCCUGGAUGCCGUUUUUCGAGGCAGAGCAACUGCGCCGCGUCCAAGACCUUCCGCACCUGACGGUGCGGAACAACAUCGAGGGCCAGCGUGCCUUCUGGCAGUAGCCGGGCCGGACCCUUGACUAGUUUGGCCGAAGCCGGAACCGGAAUGGGCGCGGAAGGCCGAGUACGAGUGCCUAGCGCUUGAGCAUCGGCGCGAAGACGACCCGGAUGAGUUCCCGGGCUUUCGCACCGCCCAGCGCGCCAGCUAGGAGGAGGCGGAGCAGAGCCGCCGCCUCGUCUACACCUCCACGGAGGACGACAUCCCGGCCUGGCUCGACGAGGAGGCAGUGAAGGAGGAGGCAUCGGCGGCGAAGAAGAAGGCGGCGACGAAGGUGAAGUAGGAGUCUGGCGUCAUCGUCCUCGACGACGACAGCAGUAGCGUCGGCUCCUGGAUCCAUGGCCUCGAUGACUAGGGUUUUUAUUUUCUUUUUCUUUUGUAAAUUUUCGCAAAUUUCAAUGAAAUGUUGCCGUGCCUAAUUUGAAGAAUUUUCGCCAGGUUCGAUGAAUUUUUGCCGAGAUAGAAAUUUAGUAUUGGGGGCGCGGCUAGGAAACUGCGGCCCCCCAAAUUAAUCUUUGCGCCGACACCCCAAUACGGCCGAAAAAACUGACAGGCCGGGCGCCAUACAGGGGGACGAGUGGAGAUGCUCUUAGUUCCCCUUAAAAGUAAGGAGCACACUAGGCGUCGGCUAGGGGAUCCGCGUGCGGAAUCGGUCUGGUCGGCAGCCGUGCGAUGGCAACGAACGAACGCACACGAUUGGUUUAGAUAAUCACCGUGGACUUCGGCGGAGCAGCAGCCCUGUAGCAGCCCCACGCAUGCAGUAGCUUUGCGUGUAACGGCCCCAUGCCUACAGUUGUCCGAGGAUCUCCGUAGCAGCCCAUGUGCUCCAUCCGGCGAGUUCGCAGCUCCCUGUACUCGCAGCGGCCGCGCAUGCAGCAGUUGUGCGUGCAUGCAACCUCGCCGGAUCCAAUGCCUGCCGGUUGUCGCG
rnacentral:lncRNA from 1 species